GCUGGUGGGGCGGGCGGAGGGAGGGAGGAGGGGCCGAGCUCGGAGCUGACAAAAAGCGGCCCAGCUCCCCGGCACGGGCCCGCCGUCAGCACGUCACGUCACUGCCCGGGAGAGAGACCCAGGAAAAUGCGGAAGGGUAGAAGGGCCCCCUCCUCCGCCCGGUGUGGUUUCUUCUAGAGCUGCAGUAUGGAUGACUUGCAGGUGGGGUAAGGAUGAGAAACGCUUGUGGUCUGUCAUUCCUGGGGAGAAAACAUAGCCAUAAAUUGGAGGAUAGGUGGAAAGGAAGCCCCCCAUCUUCUUCACCACACCCUCAAGGCUUCAGCUUUGAUUGUUUUUCAAGUGAUUAUAUUUCAUUUCAAAAAUGGUAAAUGACAACAUGUCUUUAUGGUUUCUAGAAAAUUCUGUCAGGCUGAUACAGACUGUAUUCACAGAAAGGUAAAUAAAACUAAGCAAUAUUUUUUUAAGUAAAAAAUAUAAGAAAUAGCUUGUGUACCCACAUUAAUAUACUUUCAAAAAUUGAUAACCUGUGUUUAAAAGUACUUUCCAAAGGCCUUCGUUUAAUGCUGUGGUAUGUCAAGAAUGAGGUCUGAAACAUCACCCAUCCAACUUAAGCAGCAUGUUCAGAACACAAAAACCUAAUGUCAGCAUUCUUGUUAGUUAUUCCAUAAUUACCAUCAAAUACUUGUAAGUCCACCAGUAGAGAUCACUUAAGAAAAGAGUGUUGAAGGAGCAUAAAGGAAAAAGAUGUUUCUUCAAUUUAAAAGGUCAGAAGUAGUUUAGGUAUUGACACUUUGAAGUAGCCCUUUGUCAUUACUUUUUAUGCAUGAAAAGAGUGUUAACUUUGGCAGGAAACAAGGAAAAGAUGGCCUAGUAGUUAUAUUAGAUGACUCUUUAUUAAUGUCCAAGAAAAAUUAUAGAUGAUUAUACAGAUGAAGUCAACAAUAUUUUUAUGAGUUUACAAAAAAGAGAAAGUAAUUUGUACUUCAAAUCCAUUUAUGAAAGGCUGUAAAGAACAGUAUAUAAUAAUCAUUUUACUGGAGGUACACUUACUGUUAUAAAAUAGCCAUAAUAAAGUGAAGACACAAAAUACGAAUAGCACAGACCAAAAAUGGUUUGAUAUAAUAAAAUACAAGAUACAAUUUAUGAAAAUAGCCACAAUAAGACCUUGAGUACACCUAAGAUCACUAAAAGCAUUUGGUAAUCAAGCACUGGAUGAUUAUGCACCUGACAUCUCGAACACAAAGUGCUUCCUCCACCCAAUCUUGUCUUGAUACUUUUGACCAUUGUAUUGGUAUUAGGGGCCUAUAGAAUUCUGGGCACAGAGCCUAACAAAGAUGUGGUGCUUGCCCUUGGGGAACUCCAAAUGAGGAGGCUGUGUAUGGCAGAGUAAAAACAUUCUAAAGUGCUUUCAUUUUCUCACUUAAAUAAACACAUAAUAAAGGGAAAAUUUAUUUAGGGAGAUUGAGAGCAGAACAUUUCAAAAGCAUAUGCUGUGAACAGAAAAUAGCUGAUUCCUAAGCAGUCAAAGGAAUUUUGAUUAUGUGCUAAGAUUUAUUUGUUCCUUCAGAGCUGUUAAUGUAUAUCAGAGAGUUAAAAGCAUCGACUCAAGGUCUUGACAGUGUUUUAAUAACUAAAAAUCCCUGACAUGUUUAUAGGCCCUUGAGCCAGAAACAAUACAAAGCCUUUCAAUCUUUUUUCCAGAGAAAGAUUACUCAGAAAAGAAGCUGUUGAUUUUCACUUCCUAUCAUAGACUGAUGGGAAUCCAAAUUGGAGGCAAUAACUUAUUAGCUUAUGAGAAAAUAUAGACCUUCUUGGAUAAAAUUGUGAUAAUUCAUUAUUUUAUAUCUGAAAGGUUGGAAAAUAUUUACCUUCCCCUAGAAAGGCCCUAGAAGUUUUAAUGAACUAAGGAUGUUCUAUAAAAAUAAACCUUUUAUCUUAUACUUGACACUUGAUACUUAAAUGAUCUUAACAUGAACAAGCUGUGUAAUCUGUCGGGAAUUCAGUUGGUUAUAAUUAAUGUCAAAGAAGAGUUUUUAAUCUGAGUCUUUAAGUCACACACCCUCCCCAAGGAAAAUAAUGACUGACAAGUGAUUUUCAAGCAGUUUUUCACACGAGUCAUUAAUUGAAUAAGACAUUAUUUAAUUCCCGAAAAUCACCAGUUGCUCAUAGAUUGUAUACCUGUAAAUAAACUCACACCACUAAACAAGUGAAAAAUCAAUAUAUAAGGCCUCAAAACGAUGACCAGUAGCAAUGAGCACGCUGGUGCCCAGAUUGGGUCCACUAUAUACAAUUUUCCACUGAAAGGAACCAGGGUUCACUGGAGAGAUGGCUGAUUUCUGGGCUGUAUCUGGAACGUCAAAAAUGAGCCACAAAAAUCUCUUCAUACCAUAAAGAACAGAAAAUAUCAAAGCUUACUAGGAAUGUGGCAAAAGGUCUCAGGAGUCAGUUUGAAGAGGUUCCAGCUGGCUGAAAAUGAAAAAAUUUGAAUGUGGAAAGAAUAAUAAUUUACUAUGGACUGAAACACACCAAAUAGGUUCAAAUUCAUUUACUUUUCCUUGAUAACAAGUACAGUCCUGAAUAUCUAAAAAAAAAAAAAAAAAAAACAUUAUUAGCUACACAAUUUUUCUCAUCUGGGAAUUAUCUUGGAUUAAAUUACUCCUGUUUUUCUGCGGAGUUGUCUUUUUUCUUAUUCACUUGUGGAAAUAUUUAAUACAUUCUGAAUAUUAAUCCUUUGCUUGUUAUAUGUGUUACAAAUAUGUAGUCCGCUGCUUGUCUUUUAAUUCACUUAGUCUAAGGCAGUUUUUCAAAUUGCAAGUCAUGAAGUUAAGAAGUUAAUUAGAAUCACCUGGGGAACUUUUACAACAUGGCACUGCACGGGCAGGCCCCACUUUCAGAGAUUCUGAUUUUAUUUGUUUGGGUGGGACUCCGGCAUUGGUAUAUUUUUAAAAAAAACUCCUCUGGGGAUAUUAAUGUAUAUCAAAGUUGACAACCAUGAAUUUGGUGUGUUACAACUAGAAUUGUCUAAAAGCGGAAUAGAAAAUAGAGUACAUUGCAAGUAGUAAAUUUUAUAAAGUUGUUUAUUUCAUAUAUAUGGAGAUGUAAGAUGGACUAAAAAGAAAGGCCUAGUGAUCUACUUUUGAAAAUUAGUCAAUGAAAACCUUAGGAUAACAACAGAACACUGUCCUGGGGAAGAACUGCUCCCUCAAAGUAGAGUCGACAUUAAUGAAGCAAAUGGAGUAAAACCAUAGGGACCUUCAUUUAGUGAUGUGGCAUAACUCAGAGUGAGAAGUAACAGCUGCAAACAUCCUUUAGUAAUUGGAACAGGGAACAUACAAAGUAUGAAUCAAGGAAAACUGGAAGUUGUCAAAAAUGAAAUGCUUGAAUAUCAGUAUCCUAGGGGUUUUAGGGGUUAGUGAGUUGAAAUGGACUGGUAUUGGCCAUUUUGAAUACGACAGUCAUAUGGUCUACUAUGCCAGGAAUGACGAAUUGAAGAGGAACAGUGUCACAUUCAUCAUCAAGAAGAACAUUUCAAGAUCUAUCCUCAAGUAGAAUGCUGUCAGUGACAGGAUAAUAUCCAUAUGCCCUCAAGGAAGACCAGUUAAUACAACUAUUAUUCAAAUUUACACACCAACCACUAACGUCAAAGAUGAAGAAAUUGAAGAUUUUUACAAACUUCUGCAGUCUGAAAUUGAUCAAACAUGCAAUCAAGAUGCAUUGAUAAUUACUGGUGAUUAGAAUGCAAAAGUUGGAAAUAAAAAAGAAGGAUCAGUAGUUGGAAAAUGUGGCCUUGGUAAUAGAAAACACACCAGAGAUCGAACAAUAGAACUUUGCAAGACCACUGACUUAUUGGUUGCAAAUACCUUUUUUCAACAACAUAAAUGGUGACUAUACAUGUGAACCUUGCUGAAUGGAUUACACAGGAAUCAAAUCAAAAGAGACGAUGGAAAAGCUCAAUAUCAUCAGUCAGAACAAGCCCAGGGGCCAACUACGGGAGAGACCAUCAAUUGCUCAUAUGCAAGUUCAAGUUGAAACUGAAGAAAAUUAGAAGGAGUCCAUGAGAGCCAAAGUACAACCUUGAGUGUAUCCCACCUCAAUUUAGAGGCCAUCUCAAGAAUACAUUUGAUGCAAUGAACACUAAUGACUGAAGACCAGACGAGUUGUGGAAUGAUAUCAAGGACAUCAUACAUGAAGAAAGCAAAAGGUCAUUAAAAAGACGGGAAAGAAAGAAAAGACCAAAAUGGAUGUCAGAAGAGACUCUGAAACUUGCUCUUGAAUGUAAAGAAGUAGCUAAAGCAAAAGGAAGAAAUGAAGUAAAAGAGCUGAACAGAAGAUUUCAAAGGGCAGCUCAAAAGACAAAGUAAAUAUUAUAAUGAAAUGUGCAAAGACCUGGCAUUAGAAAAUCAAAAGGGAAGAACAUGCUUAACAUUCGUCAAGCUGAAAGAACUGAAGAAAAAAUUCAAGCCUCGAAUUGCAUUACUGAAGAAUGCUAUGGGCAAAAAAAUUGAACGUUACAGGAAUUAUCAAAGAUGAUGAAAGAAAUACACAAAGCCGCUGUACCGAAAAGAAAUGGUAGACAUUCAGCCAUUUCAGGAGGUCACAUAUGAUCAAGAACUGCUGGUACGAAAGGAAGAAGUUCAAACUGCACUGAAGGCAUUGGUGAAAAACAAGCCUCCAGGAAUUGACAGAAUACCAAUUGAGAUGCUUCAGUAAAUGGAUGCAAUACUGAAAGCACUCACCAUCUAUGUCAAGAAACUUGGAAGACAGCUACCUGGCCAACCAACUGGAAGAGAUCCAUAUU